rnacentral:lncRNA from 1 species
GAUAGAAAAAGUUAAUGUCUGUCAUAUAGGGAACUGUAUCUUUUGAUAGAGGCAAUAGAACAGAGGAAGAAUUUCAGAGACUUUGUAGGAAUGGUGGGCGAAUUCUGUUUGUCAUCAACUCCCACCUUCUCAAGGACAAAAAUCACUUUCACCAGCCUCAGGUUAGAGAAUAAGCUAUAGUCUCAGUUCCUUAUUGUCAGUUCAGGUAGGUACCAGCACAUCAGAGGCUUCUGUCUAAAAAUUGGGAGAGGAACAAGGCCCCUGACUUCUGUUUUAUCUCUUUCCAAAACAGAAUGGAAAUGUGUAUAGCACUUGCUAAGAGCUCUUUCUCAAUGACUAACCAAGUAAUUUGGGGGAGUGUCUUUAUCCAUUUUGUGUAGCUGUAAGAAAAUAUCUGAAACUGAGUAAUUUACAAAGAAAAGAAGUGUAUUUUGGCCUGUGGUUCUGGAGGCUAGCAAACUUGAGAGCACUGGACCAUCUGGCCAAGGCAAUGUGCUCUUUCACUUCAUGGUAGAAAAAGCAGAAGAGAACUAGCAAGUGCAAGAGGAGCAUGUGUGUGAGAGUAAGGGGCAGUGCCAGGCUUGCUUUAUAACAUGCUCGAGAACUGUCCUAUUCUCUUGAGAAAGACACUAAUCCAUUUGUGAGGGCAUUGCCCUCAUGACCCAAUCACCUCCCAAAGGCCCUACCUCUCAACACUCCUACAUUGGCAAUCAAAUUUCAACAUGAAGGGCUGGGGAAAUGGCUCACUUGGUAUACCGAGUGCUUGCCUUGCAUACAAAAGGGCCUGGAUUUAAUCCUCAGCACCACAAAAAAAAAAAAAAAUCAAAAUGAAUUUGGGCAGGGACAAACCACAUCUAAACCAUAGAAGCUGAAUUACUUUUGGGGUCUUAGUUUUAAAAACAAAUGGGGGUUGUGUAUAAUUGCAAGCAAUGUAGUAUAACUGCAGCUGUGAUUUUUAACCAGGGUUACAUAAGCAGAAUCUCUGAGAGGAAAUGUGUAGUUUGAAAAGGCAUAUAAUCACACUUGAUUAGUUUUUAGCCAUAAUACUUAAAACCUCAGAUAAUGGAGGAUCAAUAAUUUUGAUAUUUGUCAGAGGAUCUGACUUUACCCAUGAAUAACAACCAUUAAAAGGCCUUAAGCAGAAAGUAGCACCAUACAACUUGUUUUUAAAAAGGAUCUCUUUAAGUGUAAGUUAGGAGGGGGUUACAACUGAAGCAAGGAGGCCAGUGAGGAAGUUAUUUGUAGGAGAGACAGAGUAGUUCUCACCUUAUGUCUCUCAUCAAAUGCCAUUUCCCUAAGGAAGCCUUUACCCAACUGUCCAGUUGACACUAACCUUUUCCUGGACUUCUAAAUUCCAUAAAGGACAGAUAUCCCAGACUUUCCAAGAGACAGAACCAGAGGAUUGGCUACUCUACUCAAGAGACAGGAUAUGGACUCUUCUAUUACCUUCUCAGCUUUGUAACUCAGUUCACAUUCCUGAGCCUUCUUUUCCACAAGACCACAUCAAUGUCAGAAUUCAUCAAUGAAUGUGGUAAGAGAGAGUACCCAUUUUUGUAUAUUUUCUUUCAGGAAUCCAACCUUCCCCACAUUCCAUUCCAUUCUGUCAUUUACAACUUUUCAGGAGUAUCUUCCCCAAAGUCCUAUUUUCAUCAUCCCCUCCUGCUUAAUGGCAUUCCAUGUAAUCCUACUGCUUAUUGCACCCUCCUUCUAGAAGUUUCUUAGAACCUGGCCCAACUUGGAGACAAUGGGCUGUGGUGGAAGGGAAUGUUCUUAGAAGUUUAGAAAACCAAUGUUUCAGUUCCAACUCUGCCACCUGUGACCUUGAGCUGAUGCCUUCAUCAGCUCAGUCUCAUUGUCUGUAAAAUGAAGAUAAUAAUCAUUACCUUAUAGGAUUACUGGGAAGUAGUAGCUAGUGUUAUUUGGGGAAGGGUGUCAUACAGUUUAUUUUUAAUUUUUAAGCUCUUCUUAUUUGUUAGAUAUAAAUGACACUAGAGUAUAUUUUGACAUAAAUAAAUGGAGUAUAACUUAUUCUAAUUAGGAUCCCAUUCUUGUGGUUGUACAUGAUGUGGAGUUUCAAUGGUGGUAUAUUCAUAUAUGAACAUAGGAAAGUUAUGUCUGAUUCAUUUCACUGGCUUUCCUAUUCGUACCCCUCUCCCUUCCUUUCAUUCCCCUUUGUCUAAUCCACUCAACUUCUAUUCUUCUCCACCCCUCUCCCCAGUUGUGUGUUAAAAUCCACAAAUCAGAGAGAAUGUUCUUUGGGAUUGGUUUAUUUCACUUAGUAUGACAGUCUCUGAAUUCAUCCAUUUACUGGCAAAAGUCUUAAAGUUUGACACUCAGGUGAUCAGUGAGUGCAGUUUAAUUUUUCCCAGGAAAAUUUGCCCAACAAGGUCUAUAAUCUCACUUUUAAAAAUUUCAGAUAAAAUAGGCUUUAAAGGAAUUGGGGAGAUUAUUUCAAACUGAGACAGGAAAUUGUGUUGGCUUCAUGAGGAAGGUGGUAUUUGAAGCACAUAGAGAGAUCUAGGUCAGUAGGGGUGGUGGGCCUUAAACUGUAGAGGAGAUAAAACCAAAUCUAAGAAACAAAGUUGUUAGAAGAUGCCAGAGUAUCAUCUGUGUUAGUUAAAUAUCAAUGGUUCAGUUCUACAGUGGAUCAUCAAAGCCUCUUUUGUAUCAGGCCUUGUGCAUGCCAUUGGAGGGCUUUAUCUUCAAGGACUAUGUGAUUUAGUACAGAUGGAAACCCAAAUACAUCACACUGGGAUAAAUAGUAUAUUACAAAUAAG